CAGCCGCCGCGGUAAAACGUAGGGUGCAAGCGUUAAUCGGAAUUACUGGGCGUAAAGCGUGCGCAGGCGGUUAUAUAAGUCAGAUGUGAAAUCCCCGGGCUCAACCUUGGAACUGCAUUUGAGACUGUAUGGCUAGAGCGUGUCAGAGGGGGGUAGAAUUCCACGUGUAGCAGUGAAAUGCGUAGAUAUGUGGAGGAAUACCGAUGGCGAAGGCAGCCCCCUGGGAUAACACUGACGCUCAUGCACGAAAGCGUGGGGAGCAAACAGGAUUAGAUACCCCAGUAGUCCCUGUCUCUUAUAC
rnacentral:rRNA from 1 species